GACGAACGCUGGCGGCGUGCUUAACACAUGCAAGUCGAACGGAAAGGCCCUGCUUUUGUGGGGUGCUCGAGUGGCGAACGGGUGAGUAACACGUGAGUAACCUGCCCUUGACUUUGGGAUAACUUCAGGAAACUGGGGCUAAUACCGGAUAGGAGCUCCUGCUGCAUGGUGGGGGUUGGAAAGUUUCGGCGGUUGGGGAUGGACUCGCGGCUUAUCAGCUUGUUGGUGGGGUAGUGGCUUACCAAGGCUUUGACGGGUAGCCGGCCUGAGAGGGUGACCGGCCACAUUGGGACUGAGAUACGGCCCAGACUCCUACGGGAGGCAGCAGUGGGGAAUAUUGCACAAUGGGCGGAAGCCUGAUGCAGCAACGCCGCGUGCGGGAUGACGGCCUUCGGGUUGUAAACCGCUUUCGCCUGUGACGAGGCGUGAGUGACGGUAAUGGGUAAAGAAGCACCGGCUAACCACGUG
rnacentral:rRNA from 1 species